UGGGGAAUUUUGGACAAUGGGGGGAAACCCUGAUCCAGCCAUCCCGCGUGUGCGAUGAAGGCCUUCGGGUUGUAAAGCACUUUUGGCAGGAAAGAAACGUCGCGGGUUAAUACCCCGCGAAACUGACGGUACCUGCAGAAUAAGCACCGGCUAACUACGUGCCAGCAGCCGCGGUAAUACGUAGGGUGCAAGCGUUAAUCGGAAUUACUGGGCGUAAAGCGUGCGCAGGCGGUUCGGAAAGAAAGAUGUGAAAUCCCAGAGCUUAACUUUGGAACUGCAUUUUUAACUACCGGGCUAGAGUGUGUCAGAGGGAGGUGGAAUUCCGCGUGUAGCAGUGAAAUGCGUAGAUAUGCGGAGGAACACCGAUGGCGAAGGCAGCCUCCUGGGAUAACACUGACGCUCAUGCACGAAAGCGUGGGGAGCAAACAGGAUUAGAUACCCUGGUAGUCCACGCCCUAAACGAUGUCAACUAGCUGUUGGGGCCUUCGGGCCUUGGUAGCGCAGCUAACGCGUGAAGUUGACCGCCUGGGGAGUACGGUCGCAAG
rnacentral:rRNA from 1 species